GUCCGAUACGGCUACGGCUUUAUCGGCGAGUCCUUGUUAUACUUCAAGGGAGAGGUAAUCCUUCACCGAGCACUAAAACGGUGUAAACAUUAGGGACAACC
rnacentral:ncRNA from 1 species